rnacentral:rRNA from 1 species
UACAGAGGUCCCAAGCGUUGUUCGGAUUCAUUGGGCGUAAAGGGUGUGUAGGUGGCGCCGUAAGUCGGGUGUGAAAUCGUCGGGCUUAACUCCGAAACUGCAUCGAUACUGCGGUGCUUGAGGACUGGAGAGGAGACUGGAAUUCAUGGUGUAGCAGUGAAAUGCGUAGAGAUCAUGAGGAAGACCAGUGGCGAAGGCGACUACCUGGCCUGUUCUUGACGCUGAGGCGCGAAAGCCAGGGGAGCAAACGGG